UAAGGAAUAUUGGUCAAUGGACGCAAGUCUGAACCAGCUAUGCCGCGUGAAGGAUUAAGGUCCUCUGGAUUGUAAACUUCUUUUAUCUGGGACGAAAAAAGGUCUUUCUAGGCUUCUUGACGGUACCAGAUGAAUAAGCACCGGCUAACUCCGUGCCAGCAGCCGCGGUAAUACGGAGGGUGCAAGCGUUGUCCGGAUUUAUUGGGCGUAAAGAGCUCGUAGGCGGUUUGUUACGUCGGAUGUGAAAUCCUGGAGCUUAACUCCGGGCCUGCAUUCGAUACGGGCAGACUAGAGUGUUGUAGGGGAGACUGGAACUCCUGGUGUAGCGGUGAAAUGCGCAGAUAUCAGGAGGAACACCAAUGGCGAAGGCAGGUCUCUGGGCCAUUACUGACACUGAGGAGUGAAAGUGUGGGGAGCGAACAGG
rnacentral:rRNA from 1 species